AGCGAACGCUGGCGGCAGGCCUAACACAUGCAAGUCGAACGGAUCCUUCGGGAUUAGUGGCGGACGGGUGAGUAACACGUGGGAACGUGCCCCUUGGUUCGGAACAACUCAGGGAAACUUGAGCUAAUACCGGAUGUGCCCUUCGGGGGAAGGAUUUAUCGCCAUUGGAGCGGCCCGCGUCUGAUUAGCUAGUUGGUGAGGUAAAGGCUCACCAAGGCGACGAUCAGUAGCUGGUCUGAGAGGAUGAUCAGCAACAUUGGGACUGAGACACGGCCCAAACACCUACGGGAGGCAGCAGGGGGGAAUCUUGCGCAAUGGGCGAAAGCCUGACGCAGCCAUGCCGCGUGAAUGAUGAAGGUCUUAGGAUUGUAAAAUUCUUUCACCGGGGACGAUAAUGACGGUACCCGGAGAAGAAGCCCCGGCUAACUUCGUGCCAGCAGCCGCCGUAA
rnacentral:rRNA from 1 species